CUGAGGUUUAAUGUCUGACUGGAAGUGGAUGCUGUUUUAGAAGGUGAUAAGUUAGGAAGCUAAGUUUUACCCGAUACUGUCGCAGGAGUGUGGCAGCUUCUCUCUGGUCGGCGAUGGAGAGCCAGAUGUUGGGGAAUGAAGUGAGGUUGUAGCUGAGGCCCUGACACAUCUCUACCUCUAUGAACUCGCAUGAUGAAGCUGGUUUCAUGUGGAAACAAAAACUGCUGCGGUUUUCCGAUCGAGGUCAGAGAUAACAUGGACUCACUGAAAGGAGGUGAGACCUGACCAACCUGGUGACCACAGAAUUUCGCUCGAUCUGCUCCUGCACUUCCAGCCAGUCGAACAGACAAGGAGAUGGUCCCUCAACGUUCAAAGAGGACACAUGGAUCUGGACCAUGGAGGGAG